rnacentral:rRNA from 1 species
GCGCUAAAUGAUGAGCCUAAGUCGGAUUAGCUAGUUGGUGGGGUAAAGGCCUACCAAGGCGACGAUCUGUAGCGGGUCUGAGAGGAUGAUCCGCCACACUGGGACUGAGACACGGCCCAGACUCCUACGGGAGGCAGCAGUGGGGAGUAUUGGACAAUGGGCGAAAGCCUGAUCCAGCCAUGCCGCGUGUGUGAAGAAGGCCUUUUGGUUGUAAAGCACUAUAAGCGAGGAGGAGGCUACUAGUACUAAUACUACUGGAUAGUGGACGUUACUCGCAGAAUAAGCACCGGCUAACUCUGUGCCAGCAGCCGCGGUAAUACAGAGGGUGCGAGCGUUAAUCGGAUUUACUGGGCGUAAAGCGUGCGUAGGCGGCUUUUUAAGUCGGAUGUGAAAUCCCCGAGCUUAACUUGGGAAUUGCAUUCGAUACUGGGAAGCUAGAGUAUGGGAGAGGAUGGUAGAAUUCCAGGUGUAGCGGCGUAAUGCGUAGAGAUCUGGAGGAAUACCGAUGGCGAAGGCAGCCAUCUGGCCUAAUACUGACGCUGAGGUACGAAAGCAUGGGGAGCAAACAGGAUUAGAUACCCUGGUAGUCCAUGCCGUAAACGAUGUCUACUAGCCGUUGGGGCCUUUGAGGCUUUAGUGGCGCAGCUAACGCGAUAAGUAGACCGCCUGGGGAGUACGGUCGCAAGACUAAAACUCAAAUGAAUUGACGGGGGCCCGCACAAGCGGUGGAGCAUGUGGUUUAAUUCGAUGCAACGCGAAGAACCUUACCUGGCCUUGACAUACUAGAAACUUUCCAGAGU